rnacentral:rRNA from 1 species
CCUACGGGGGGCUGCAGUAAGGAAUAUUGGUCAAUGGGCGCAAGCCUGAACCAGCCAUCCCGCGUGCAGGAUGAAGGUCCUAUGGAUUGUAAACUGCUUUUAUCAGGGAAGAAACGCCUUCAUUUAUGAGGGUCUGACGGUACCUGAGGAAUAAGCACCGGCUAACUCCGUGCCAGCAGCCGCGGUAAUACGGAGGGUGCGAGCGUUAUCCGGAAUCACUGGGUUUAAAGGGUGCGUAGGCGGGGAAUUAAGUCAGUGGUGAAAGCCUGUCGCUUAACGAUAGAAUUGCCAUUGAUACUGAUUUUCUUGAAUUGGGUUGAGGUUAGCGGAAUGUGACAUGUAGCGGUGAAAUGCAUAGAUAUGUCAUGGAACACCAAUUGCGAAGGCAGCUAACUGGGCCUUGAUUGACGCUGAGGCACGAAAGCGUGGGUAGCGAACAGGCUUAGAUACCCCGGUAGUC